ensembl:misc_RNA
AUUUCUCUUGAGAGUACAAUAAAGUCUAAUUUUCUUCAUUAUUCAAUUUGGAUCCUGUUAAGUGAGACAGGCAUUCGCUGACAAGGAGGAGCAUUUAAUUUUGGCAAAUAAGUUCAUUUGUAUUCAGAAAGCUUUGUACCCCUCAUAUUUAAUAAACCUUUCCAUUACAGAGUAAAGAAA